AUGGGGACCCACACGUGCGUGGGCACCCACAGGGCUCCCAGCACCAUCGCUUCCACGGGCAGCGCCCUGGGGUGCAGGGCUCCUUCCCGCGGGGCAGCCCCUCACCGCGGCUGCCUUUUGGGGACGGGGACGCGGGGUUUGAGCCGCAGGAUUGCAAAGCAGCUCUGGGCUGGGGGACCCUCCGGCACGGCCACUGCCGCUCCCCAGUGUCCUGCCACUUUACCUGGCGAAACGACACGUUGCGGCCACCGAGGCGAGGAAGGCGAGCCGCACGAUGAGCAUCCCACGCGGCUGCAGCGGCUUAGUCAUGCUUGCACCUCUGCACAUCCACACAGCAGCGGCACGGGCAGGCAGCACCCCGGGUUAAGGGGGACCCCCCCCCCCCCCGGGACACACGGCUCCGAGAAGCCCCCCCCGGCUUCCCCGCACCGCGGGCGCCUCCUGAUCUGGGGACCCGUCCCCGUGCCCCGCGCAGCCAGGCCGGCUCAGCAUCGCCUCCUCCUCCGCACCAGGGCUCCCCUGCGGCCGUGGCCCCGAGCUGCGCCCGGAGAAGAGCCCCGGGCUCGCCCCGCUCCGCGCCCGCAUCGCCCCCAGCCGCCCUCCGGUGAGCAGAAGGCUCGGGGCACCCGCGCUCCUCCCCAUCCCGUCCUGCUUUCCGAGGCACCGACGGGUCACCGGAGCCUAAAUCAUCCCGGAGGUUUCUCGGGGCUCUCGGCUGUUCCCUACCGGCACCGGGCACCCUCCUGCCAAGGAACACGACAUGACAAAACCCCCACCACUGGUGCAACACCGGGGCUGGGUCCUGAAACGCAGAGAUAUCAGGAGUGGGAAGAAUGGAUAGGAUCAGUAUUUCACCCUCCCUGUUGGUGUUGGAUUUACACACUGGUAAGUGUGCAGGUAGGCCAGGUGAGGCUAACCAGCUCAAUACGAUGUUGUUCCUUUGAUGUUCUUACACCGUGGUGGCUACAGAUCAGCAUUAAAUUACAGAAGGGAAAUUUUCCUCCUUUACACAAAAAAAAAAAAAAAAAAAAGCAAUACCACCACCUAUCCAUUUAUAUGCACCCAAGGUUUAGGGGCUGA
rnacentral:lncRNA from 1 species